rnacentral:rRNA from 1 species
GAUGAACGCUGGCGGUAUGCUUAACACAUGCAAGUCGGACGGGAAGUGGUGUUUCCUGUGCCGGACGGGAGGGUAACGCGAAAGAACCUGCGCUUGGGUGGGGCACAAGAGCUGGAAACGGCUGCUCAUACUCCGUAGGCUGUGGGGAAAACGGAGGAAUCUGCCCGAGGAGGCGCUGGCGUCUUAUUAGCUAGCUGAGGAGGCAAUAGCUUACCAAGACGAUGAUCAGUAGCUGGUCGAGAGGAUGAUCAGCCACACUGGGACUGAGACACGGCCGAGACUCCUGCGGGAGACAGCAGGGGAAAAUUGGCCGCAGUGGGCGAGCGCGUGACAGAGCAAUGCCGCGUGUAAAGAAGAGGCCCACGGGUCGUAAACUUCUUUUCCUGGAGGAGAGGCAAUGACGGGAUCUGGGGAAUAAGCAUCGGCUAACUCUGUG